AAACGAAUAAGUCGUAUAAAGUUCUAGGUAGAAGAAUGAUAAUGACAAUUUUCUAUCUAUAAGUCUUGACCAAAUUACGUGCCAGCAGUCGCGGCAACACGUAGAAGACUAGUGUUAUUCAUCUUUAUUAGGUUUAAAGGGUACCUAGACGGGAAAUCAAGCCUUUAUAAAUAAGAAAAAAAUAACCCUUUUUUGGGUUUAGCCAUCUCUGGGAUUCCCAGAGGAACUAAUUUCCUAGAGUUUUACGAGAGAAGGAGCGAAUUUCCGGAGGAGAGUUGAUAUUUUGUGAUACCGGAAGGACGGGUAACGGCGAAGGCAACCUUCUAUUAAAAACUGACGUUGAGGGACGAAGCCUUGGGUAACGAGAAGGAUUUGAUACCCUAGUAGUCCUUGGAGAAAACUAUGAAUGCCAUAGGAUAUUUAGAAACUCUUCUAAGCAUACUUUCUGCGUUGUUCGACUCAGACCAAUAGUUCACUCUAUGAAAAAAAAAAACUUUUCCGAGUGAAGAAAGGAAAGUUAAGCUAAAGUUCUCUACUUGAACUUUCCUUUUUUUAGUAGCAUUUAGCAAUGAAACUCGUUUUUGUUAAGGAAAAAAAAAACUGAUGGUUAUAUUUUUUUUUCCUUAAGCGUUUCAUGCUGUCACAGUUUUUAUGAUCCUAUAAAUGAAAGUGUAAGCAUUCCACCUCAUGAGUAAAGCGGCAACGCCCAAAUUGAAAUCAUUAGACCGUUUCUGAAACCAGUAGUGAAGUAUGUUAUUUAAUUCGAUAAUCCGCGAAUAACCUUACCACAUUAUGCAUUGAAUAUUAUUCAAUUAUUACAAGCGCUGCACGGCUGUCUUCAGUUAAUGUCGUGAGAUUUCGGUUCGUUCCAUAAAUUAACUAAAACCCUUGCUUUAUUUGUGUUUAUAAAGUAGUUCUCCGUUACAU
rnacentral:rRNA from 1 species